AUACGGAGGAUGCGAGCGUUAUCCGGAUUUAUUGGGUUUAAAGGGAGCGUAGGCGGGAGCUUAAGUCAGCGGUUAAAUGGUGCGGCUCAACCGGGCCCUGCCGUUGAAACUGGGGUUCUUGAGAGUGCAAGAGGCGGAUGGAAUUCAUGGUGUAGCGGUGAAAUGCUUAGAUAUCAUGAAGAACUCCGAUUGCGAAGGCAGUCCGCUGGGGCACGUCUGACGCUGAUGCUCGAAGGUGCGGGAAUCAAACAGGAUUAGAUACCCUGGUAGUCCGCACGGUAAACGAUGAUUACCCGCUGUCGGCGGUAGACAGUCGGCGGCCAAGCGAAAGCGAUAAGUAAUCCACCUGGGGAGUACGCCGGCAACGGUGAAACUCAAAUGAAUUGACGGGG
rnacentral:rRNA from 1 species